GAAGCAAGCGAUACUCGUGAAACACUAUUGAAAUACUUUUGAAACACUAAUGAAAUACUUUUGAAACACUAAUUAAAUGCUUAUGAAAUACUAAUUAAAUUGACUUGACAAAGAAAAGCCAGGAAAAUGUGUGAAGGAACUUGACUGUAAAGAACUGUAGACACAAUACAGUCCAGGUUAAAGCAGGGGUGUCAAACUCAUCCCAUGAAGAAAAUGAAUAUGUUUUAUUGUCCUACACCAGGUAGGUGCAGAUGUUUUAUUGUCCUACACCAGGUAGGUGCAGAUGUUUUAUUGUCCUACACCAGGUAGGUGCAGAUGUUUUAUUGUCCCACACCAGGUAGGUGCAGAUGUUUUAUUGUCCCACACCAGGUAGGUGCAGAUGUUUUAUUGUCCCACACCAGGUAGGUGCAGAUGUUUUAUUGUCCUACACCAGGUAGGUGCAGAUGUUUUAUUGUCCCACACCAGGUAGGUGCAGAUGUUUUAUUGCCCUACACCAGGUAGGUGCAGAUGUUUUAUUGUCCCACACCAGGUAGGUGCAGAUGUUUUAUUGUCCUACACCAGGUAGGUGCAGAUGUUUUAUUGUCCCACACCAGGUAGGUGCAGAUGUUUUAUUGUCCCACACCAGGUAGGUGCAGAUGUUUUAUUGUCCCACACCAGGUAGGUGCAGAUGUUUUAUUGUCCCACACCAGGUAGGUGCAGAUGUUUUAUUGUCCCACACCAGGUAGGUGCAGAUGUUUUAUUGUCCCACACCAGGUAGGUGCAGAUGUUUUAUUGUCCCACACCAGGUAGGUGCAGAUGUUUUAUUGUCCCACACCAGGUAGGUGCAGAUGUUUUAUUGUCCCACACCAGGUAGGUGCAGAUGUUUUAUUGUCCCACACCAGGUAGGUGCAGAUGUUUUAUUGUCCCACACCAGGUAGGUGCAGAUGUUUUAUUGUCCUACACCAGGUAGGUGCAGAUGUUUUAUUGUCCUACACCAGGUAGGUGCAGAUGUUUUAUUGUCCCACACCAGGUAGGUGCAGAUGUUUUAUUGUCCCACACCAGGUAGGUGCAGAUGUUUUAUUGUCCCACACCAGGUAGGUGCAGAUGUUUUAUUGUCCCACACCAGGUAGGUGCAGAUGUUUUAUUGUCCCACACCAGGUAGGUGCAGAUGUUUUAUUGUCCUACACCAGGUAGGUGCAGAUGUUUUAUUGUCCCACACCAGGUAGGUGCAGAUGUUUUAUUGUCCCACACCAGGUAGGUGCAGAUGUUUUAUUGUCCCACACCAGGUAGGUGCAGAUGUUUUAUUGUCCCACACCAGGUAGGUGCAGAUGUUUUAUUGUCCCACACCAGGUAGGUGCAGAUGUUUUAUUGUCCCACACCAGGUAGGUGCAGUGACAUGUUGUUUUACAGGCUCCGUAAUAGUAGCGCAGCGCCACUGGAGCAAAUUAGGGUUAAGUGCCUUGUUCAAGGCCACAUCGACAGAUUGGUCACCUUGUCGGGGAUUUGAACCAGCGACCUUUCGGUUUCUGGCCCAACUCUCUUCAGACAGUGACGUUCAUUUAUCAAUCAAGUACGAGGGAGGGAGGAGAUGAAACCCACAGACACUCAGCCAGGUUAUUGAG